AGCUUUGUGCAGUGGCAGUAUCGUAGCCAAUGAGGUUUCUGAGGUGCAACUAUUGCUAAUUGAAAACUUUUCCCAAUACUCCAGCAUGACGACUUGUGAUAUAGUCAGCACUGGCAAUUUUUGAUGGUCCCUAUGGGGA